UCCCCUGCUGUGCACACAGCUGCCAUGCGCAUUCUGUGUGUGCACAUGCACGCAUGUAUCCCACAGACUUGUGCCCCCCCAUGCACUUGCGUGCACACAUGCACAGAGCAGCAGGUGUCCCUGCCGCUCAGGUAACAGCAGCCCUGCAACCUGACUCCCUCCCGGAGGUGGGCCAGGCUGCUCUCCUGCCCGCCAGCUGCCUCCCUGAGGCCUGGCCAUGGGGGAGGGGGUGGAGCAAGGUCUGCCUUUAUGGCUGCCUCCCCACAGACACAGUGGCAGAGGAGUCCCCCUGCUCAGCACCCAGCUGUGGGCUCUGCACCCUGGCACCUCCCUCACCCCCGUGGCUGCGCCCAGGUCCCUGGAGCGGAAACAGCCUUGUGCCAUCCCAUAGGGAAGGCGUCCCGUCCCACCCACCCCCAUGGCCCUCCUCUCAAGAGCCUCAGCUGGGCCUCCAGCCUCCCUGAGGAGCGCCUGUUGAAGAAUCACGACCUCCGUUGAGCACUUGCCUGGUCACAAACAUUUUGCUGAGGAGUUCACAAGUUCAUAUAAGGGCACACUUCAUCUUGAGUGUCCAGUUGAACCAGUUUUGACACACAGGGACAGUCAUGUGACCCGAGAUCACAACAGAGGACGUUCCGGUGGUUACGGGCUCCUGGGUGCCUCUUCGUCGUGAGCGUCACCCCAUGCCCUGCUUUCUGUUGCAGGAGAUGAAUUCUCUUCCAGGACUUUGUACACAUGGAGCCACAUGGGGCAGGAGGUGGGGCUUGACCCUAGAGGCAGGGCUCAAAUUCUGGACCAUAUUGAAGACUCGCUGAAACAGGGAAGAGGCACCUCUCCACAAGAUGCCCGCCAGUGCCAGCCAGUUUACCGCUGCCAAGGCAACACUUGGGAGUCACCCUUUCCAUGGUGAUGACUUGGAAGUACCACCUUUUUCUAGAAAAUCCAGAAUAACCCCCCCGCUUAACUUGCAUGUAAUUAAAAGCAGGUAUGGCCAGGCACGGUGGCUCACGUCUGUAAUCCCAGCACUUUGGGAAGCUGAGGCAGGCAGAUCAUGAGGUCAGGAGUUCAAGACCAGCCUGACCAACAUGGUGAAACCUGUCUCUACUAAAAAUACAAAAUUAGCUAGGCGUGGUGGCACACACCUGUAAUCCCAACUACUCAGGAUGUUGAGGCAGGAGAAUUGCUUGAACCUGGGAGGUGGAGGUUGUAGUGAGCUGAGAUCACACCACUGCACUCUAGCCUAGGCGGCAGAGCGAGACUCCAUCUCAAAAAAAAAAAAAAAAAAAAAAAGCCGGUAUGAACAUGAAUGCAGCACGACCUCUGAGCUGCUGCUCUGGGCUUGCUGCCUGUGGGGGUCCUGCUCACAGGCAUGGUCUCUCUGCUGCUGCUGCUGCUGCUGCUGCUGCUGCUGCUGCUGCUGCUGCGUGCAGCCGUUUCAAUAAAAGCUGCUGUCCAACGCCACCAGCUCACUCUUGAGAUCUUUCCUGGGCGACGCCGAGAGCCCUUGUG
rnacentral:lncRNA from 1 species